CCUACGGGAGGCUGCAGUGAGGAAUUUUGCGCAAUGGGGGAAACCCUGACGCAGCAACGCCGCGUGAGUGAUGAAGGCUUUCGGGUCGUAAAGCUCUGUCAAGUGGGAAGAACCCACAUGGUGAUAAUACCACUAUGUGCUGACGGUACCACUGAAGGAAGCACCGGCUAACUCCGUGCCAGCAGCCGCGGUAAUACGGGGGGUGCAAGCGUUAUUCGGAAUUACUGGGCGUAAAGAGCGCGUAGGCGGUCUCUUAAGUCGGGUGUGAAAGCCCGGGGCUCAACCCCGGAAGUGCACUCGAAACUAUGGGACUUGAGUAUGGGAGAGGGAAGUGGAAUUCCUGGUGUAGCGGUGAAAUGCGUAGAUAUCAGGAGGAACAUCGGUGGCGAAGGCGACUUCCUGGACCAAUACUGACGCUGAGGCGCGAAGGCGUGGGGAGC
rnacentral:rRNA from 1 species